CCAAUGUGGGCACCCAGCAAGGUUGCUCUUGCCUGGCUCUGUCCGUGUGGCGUAUGGGAGCGUAGGCCUUUGUGUCUAUGACGUACAGUCCUGUUCCAUGACGUUGGAGAGAAAGUGUGUCCCCGGCUUUUUACUGGUGAGGACAGCAUCCUGUAUAUUCCUAGACCUUCUCAGUGUUUGUAAAGUGACUGAGGAGAUAAACCAUGCAGGAUACAGAC